AUUGAACGCUGGCGGCAGGCUUAACACAUGCAAGUCGAGCGAGCGGCGGACGGGUGAGUAAUGUCUGGGAAACUGCCUGAUGGAGGGGGAUAACUACUGGAAACGGUAGCUAAUACCGCAUACCUUCCGAUGAACCCUUAGUGGAUUAGCUUGUAGUUGAGGUAACGGCUCACCUAGGCGAGGAUCCCUAGCUGGUGUGAGAGGAUGAUCAGCCACACUGGGACGGAGACACGGCACAGACUCCUACGGGAGGCAGCAGUGGGGAAUAUUGCACAAUGGGAGCAAGCCUGAUGCAGCCAUGCCGCGUGUAUGAAGAAGGCCUUCGGGUUGUAAAGUUCUUUCGGUAGCGAGGCGUUAACUACAGAAGAAGCACCGGCUAACUCCGUGCCAGCAGCCGCGGUAAUAC
rnacentral:rRNA from 1 species